rnacentral:rRNA from 1 species
CGGGGGGGGCAAGCGUUGUUCGGAAUUACUGGGCGUAAAGGGCUCGUAGGUGGCCAACUAAGUCGGACGUGAAAUCCCUCGGCUUAACCGGGGAACUGCGUCCGAUACUGGUUGGCUUGAGUUUGGGAGAGGGAUGCGGAAUUCCAGGUGUAGCGGUGAAGUGCGUAGAUAUCUGGAGGAACACCGGUGGCGAAGGCGGCAUCCUGGACCAAUACUGACGCUGAGGAGCGAAAGCCAGGGGAGCAAACGGGAUUAGAUACCCCGGUAGUCCUGGCCCUAAACGAUGAAUGCUUGGUGUGGCGGGUAUCGAUCCCUGCCGUGCCGAAGCUAACGCAUUAAGCAUUCCGCCUGGGGAGUACGGUCGCAAGGCUG